rnacentral:lncRNA from 1 species
GAAAAAUAAUAGUACUAUUGAUGAGACAGAGUACCAUCCAUUCUUACAUUGCAGUCACAUUGGAUCUACACUGAAUUAACAAGCUGCAGCCCCAGCCACCGCUAGAGCGGUGAGGGCACACCGGAUCCCAGAUCUGCAGGCGGCUGAGCAGGUGGAGCCCAGCGAAGAGAUGUUCCUGCUGCAGGCAAUUAUGCAAAAUGACAAGUGAUUGCUUUCCUUUUCAAAGACAACCCCUUUGGAAAAAGCUUUUUCCUCGAGGACCCUAGGGAAAUGGGGGGUUGGUGGGAACUUCA